rnacentral:rRNA from 1 species
CGUUAAGUAGACCGCCUGGGGAGUACGGCCGCAAGGUUAAAACUCAAAUGAAUUGACGGGGGCCCGCACAAGCGGUGGAGCAUGUGGUUUAAUUCGAUGCAACGCGAAGAACCUUACCUGGUCUUGACAUCCACAGAAGAAUCCAGAGAUGGAUUUGUGCCUUCGGGAACUGUGAGACAGGUGCUGCAUGGCUGUCGUCAGCUCGUGUUGUGAAAUGUUGGGUUAAGUCCCGCAACGAGCGCAACCCUUAUCCUUUGUUGCCAGCGGUUAGGCCGGGAACUCAAAGGAGACUGCCAGUGAUAAACUGGAGGAAGGUGGGGAUGACGUCAAGUCAUCAUGGCCCUUACGACCAGGGCUACACACGUGCUACAAUGGCGCAUACAAAGAGAAGCGACCUCGCGAGAGCAAGCGGACCUCAUAAAGUGCGUCGUAGUCCGGAUUGGAGUCUGCAACUCGACUCCAUGAAGUCGGAAUCGCUAGUAAUCGUGGAUCAGAAUGCCACGGUGAAUACGUUCCCGGGCCUUGUACACACCGCCCGUCACACCAUGGGAGUGGGUUGCAAAAGAAGUAGGUAGCUUAACCUUCGGGAGGGCGCUUACCACUUUGUGAUUCAUGACUGGGGUGAAGUCGUAACAAGGUAACCGUAGGGGAACCUGCGGUUGGAUCACCUCC